CAUGCAAGUCGAGCGGAUGAGAGUAGCUUGCUGCUGGAAUCAGCGGCGGACGGGUGAGUAAUGCUUNAGAAUCUGCCUAUUAAUGGGGGACAACGUCCCGAAAGGAGCGCUUAUACCGCAUACGUCCUACNGGACACAGGAGGGGAGCUNNGGGCCUUGCGCUAAUANAUGAGCCUANGUCGGAUUACCUAGNGGGUAGGGUAAANGNGCUACCAAGGANGACGAUCUGUAGCGCGUCUGAUAGGAUGAUCCGCCGCACUGGGACUGANACACGGCCCACACUCCUACGNCAGGCAGCAGUGGGGAAUAUUGGACAANAGAGGGGGAACCCUGAUCCAGCCAUGCCGCGUGUGUGAAGAAGGCCUUUUGGUUGUAAAGCACUUUAAGCGAGGAGGAGGCUACCUAGAUUAAUACUUUAGGAUAGUGGACCUUACUCGCAGAAUNNNCACCGGCUAACUCUGUGCCAGCAGCCGCGCUAAUACCGAGGGUGCGAGCGUUAAUCAGAUUUACUGCGCGUAAAGCGUGCGNACGCGGCCAAUUAAGUCAAAUGUGAAAUCCCCGAGCUUAACUUGGGAAUUGCAUUCGAUACUGGUUGGCUAGAGUAUGGGAGAGGAUGGUAGAAUUCCAGGUGUANCGGUGAAAUGCCUAAAGAUCUGGAGGAAUACCGAUGGCGAAGGCAGCCAUCUGGACUAAUACUGACGCUAACGUACGAAAGCAUGGGGAGCGAACAGGAUUAGAUACCCUGGUAGUCCAUGCCGUA
rnacentral:rRNA from 1 species